GGAAAUCCUUAUAAGUUAAGUUCGUUGGCAUCUCCUAUAAAUAGUGCAGAGUUUAGGAGUUCUGACAUCAACUGACCUUAGAAGACAGACGAUCAUAACUCAAGCUCCAUCAUGAAGGCUGUCCUUGUUCUCUUGGUUAUCACCAUCGUCGCGGUUUAUGCCGUUGAUGUAGAUUUGGACUUUGUAAAAUCUGCCAUGGCCUUCAAAAACCACGUGAUGAAGAGGGAAGCAGAACAAUCUCUUGAGAAGAGAAAAAUGUUGGGAUUUCACUGGCUGGACGAAAAAGCGGGAAAAUGUUCCCAAGAAAACGAAAAAUGUAACAUGUUCCAGGAUUGCUGCUAUGAAGACGAAGAAGGAGAAGAAGUAAAUCUGAGAUGUAACCAUUUCUUGAACGGUAGAUGUGUUCAGAGAACCUAAUUCUGAGAGUUAAUUCUACUAACCCAACGUUGAUGAAUCGGCGAAGCUACUUAUUUAUUCUUUAUUACACCGUUUUCAUGUUGUAGAACGAAUAUCAUUUAUUUAAUUAUUACAUAAUAAACUAAAUCAGUUUUGAAAA